rnacentral:rRNA from 1 species
GAUGAACGCUGGCGGCGUGCCUAAUACAUGCAAGUCGAACGGGAGACCUCAUUUCGAUGGGGUUGAGAGUGGCGCACGGGUAGGGAACACAUGGCUGACCUGCCCUUCAGAGGGGGAUAACGGCUGGAAACGGCUGCUAAUACCCCAUACGCUCCUUGGGAUUAGAGGCCUGAGGAGGAAAGCCUUCGGGUGCUGAAGGAGGGGGCUGUGGCCCAUCAGCUUGUUGGUAGGGUAACGGCCUACCAAGGCGACGACGGGUAGGGGGCCUGAGAGGGUGACCCCCCACACUGGGACUGAGACACGGCCCAGACUCCUACGGGAGGCAGCAGUAAGGGAUCUUGCGACAAUGGGCGAAAGCCUGACGCAGCAACGCCGCGUGCGGGAGGACGGCCUUCGGGUUGUAAACCGCUUUUCGGGGGGAAGAGGAAGGACGGUACCCCCGGAAGAAGUCUCGGCUAACUACGUG